UACGUAGGGGGCAAGCGUUACUCGGAUUUACUGGGCGUAAAGCGAAUUAAGGCGGUCUUGUAAGUCAGUGGUGAAAUCCCUCGGCUCAACUGAGGAAUUGCCUUUGAUACUGCUUGACUUGAGGACAGGAGAGGAAAGUGGAAUUCCCGGUGUAGCGGUGGAAUGCGUAGAUAUCGGGAGGAACACCAGAGGCGAAGGCGGCUUUCUGGACUGGUCCUGACGCUGAUAUUCGAAAGCUAGGGGAGCAAACAGG
rnacentral:rRNA from 1 species